UGGGAGCCGUGGCACUGUCAAGUCAUCAGACGCGGUGAUUGCGAGGCCUGUGGGAAAGUACAAAAGCCUGGGCUAGAUUACCCCUCUCAUCGAGCCCGCCUGUGUGGCACCUGUUUCUUAUCACCCCACUAAGUUCCCGCCUCACAGGGUAGUCUGCCUAGCUAUUAAUCCUAUAUAUAGCCAGUGCCUCCACCCCCGAGAGAGAGAGAAGCACAAAAGGAGCCGCGGGGAGCGGACCGGUAGAGGCUUCGGGGGAGACUGAAGCACGGAAGGAGCCGCGGGGAGCGGACCAGUAGAGGCUUCGGGGGAGACUGAAGCACAAAAGGAGCCGCGGGGAGCAGACCGGUAGAGGCUUCGGGAGAGACUGAAGCACGGAAGGAGCCGCGGAGAGCGGACCGGUAGAGGCUUCGGGGCAGACUGUAUAAGGAGAGAAUAAAGAAAAGCCUGACCACCGCCAGACCUUGUCGUGUGUCUUUCCUGCCGGCCGGGAGCGGACAUCGACAUCGGCGGACAUCGGCGGUGGACUGCAUUCUCCUACACAGUGCUGCAGCUGCAGGACAGGAAUCGGGACGAGAGCCAAUGUGGGUCCCAGAGAGGUUGACGCGACAAGUCCCUCGACUGAAGAUCAGGCCUGUUCCGCCAGAGGCCAACCGCAGACCCAACAACAAGAUGAGCCCUAAAAGAACUGCAGGACAAUCCCUUUUUGGGGGCCUGGAACGGCUUGCUCCCCUAUGUGCUACCCUUGUAUACGCAUGGCUCGCUCGCAUGGCCUACGACCGCGUUUAAAAGUGACAGGCUUCCCACAUUCUCCUCCCUAGACAACAACAUGUAGCAGGGUGGGUGAGUCAAUGACGGGUAAGAGUGUGCCUCCCCAGCACGACUCAACCUAAGCCAGGCCCUACCCCGUUCCGCUCGAAAGCCGCUGGAUUGUUAGAUAAAUUUCUCUCCGAGGGGAUUCGUGGAGAGAGAUGAGUGCAUGCCUAUGUGCAACCAGGUUCCGUCCGGUUCAUUCCUGGCCCUAGAAAAAAGGACGAGGGCCUCAGGGCCUUGGUGGACCCUGGGACGGCCGACCAGGGUCUACGCUAAGGGCCUACGGUGGGCCUCAGUUCGGGGCAUAGGCCUCUGCACUCUAUCCAGGACGGGCUGCGAUGCGCGUAGCCAUCAUUUAAAAUGGAAUAGGGGGAGAUGUUGGGAGCCGUGGCACUGUCAAGUCAUCAGACGCGGUGAUUGCGAGGCCUGUGGGAAAGUACAAAAGCCUGGGCUAGAUUACCCCUCUCAUCGAGCCCGCCUGUGUGGCACCUGUUUCUUAUCACCCCACUAAGUUCCCGCCUCACAGGGUAGUCUGCCUAGCUAUUAAUCCUAUAUAUAGCCAGUGCCUCCACCCCCGGGAGAGAGAGAGAAGCACGAAAGGAGCCGCGGGGAGCGGACCGGUAGAGGCUUCGAGAGAGACUGAAGCACAAAAGGAGCCGCGGGGAGCGGACCGGUAGAGGCUUCGGGGCAGACUGAAGCACGGAAGGAGCCGCGGAGAGCGGACCGGUAGAGGCUUCGGGGCAGACUGUAUAAGGAGAGAAUAAAGAAAAGCCUGACCACCGCCA